CCCGCCACUUUGCCAGUCUUGUUGAGUGACUGAGUGUAGUCCAGUGGAGGCUAAUAUGGACCCAGCUCUAGGAAACAGGACUGCCCAGACAGUGGGCAACUCUGUGCCGAAAGGCCUGGAACAACU
rnacentral:snoRNA from 1 species